GUGAGUGUAGCUCAGCAGUUAGAGCGCCUGCCUGUGGAGCAGGAAGUCGGGGGUGCGAAUCCCCUCACUCACCCCA
rnacentral:tRNA from 1 species